rnacentral:rRNA from 1 species
GAAUAAGGGGUGGGCAAGUCUGGUGUCAGCCGCCGCGGUAAUACCAGCACCCCGAGUGGUCGGGACGAUUAUUGGGCCUAAAGCAUCCGUAGCCGGUUUUGCAAGUCUUCCGUUAAAUCCACCUGCUUAACAGAUGGGCUGCGGAGGAUACUACAAGGCUAGGGGGCGGGAGAGGCAAGCGGUACUCAGUGGGUAGGGGUAAAAUCCUCCGAUCCAUUGAAGACCACCAGUGGCGAAAGCCGGCUUGCCAGAACGCGCUCGACGGUGAGGGAUGAAAGCUGGGGGAGCAAACCGGAUUAGAUACCCGGGUAGUCCCAGCUGUAAACGAUGCAGACUCGGUGAUGGGCCGGCUUUAUGCCGGCUCAGUGCCGCAGGGAAGCCGUUAAGUCUGCCGCCUGGGGAGUACGGUCGCAAGACUGAAACUUAAAGGAAUUGGCGGGGGAGCACCACAAGGGGUGAAGCCUGCGGUUCAAUUGGAGUCAACGCCGGAAAUCUUACCGGGGGCGACAGCAGAGUGAAGGUCAAGCUGAAGACUUUACCAGACAAGCUGAGAGGAGGUGCAUGGCCGUCGCCAGCUCGUGCCGUGAGGUGCCCUGCUAAGUCAGGUAACGAGCGAGAUCCCUGCUUUUAGUUGCUACCACUACUCUCAGGAGGAGUGGGGCUAAUUAAAAGGACUGCCGCCGCUAAGGCGGAGGAAGGAGGGGGCUACGGCAGGUCAGUAUGCCCCGAAACCCUCGGGCCACACGCGGGCUGCAAUGGUAAGGACAAUGGGUUCCGAUUCCGAAAGGAGGAGGCAAUCCCUAAACCUUACCU